GACAGAGGGUGCAAACGUUGUUCGGAAUUACUGGGCGUAAAGCGUGUGUAGGCGGUCCGCUAAGUCGGGUGUGAAAGCCCUGGGCUCAACCCAGGAAGUGCACUCGAAACUGGCGGGCUAGAGUAUCGGAGAGGUUGGUGGAAUUCUCGGUGUAGAGGUGAAAUUCGUAGAUAUCGAGAGGAACACCGGUGGUGAAGGCGGCCAACUGGACGAAUACUGACGCUGAGACACGAAAGCGUGGGGAGCAAACAGG
rnacentral:rRNA from 1 species